rnacentral:rRNA from 1 species
GGAUUAGAUACCCUGGUAGUCCACGCCGUAAACGAUGUCUACUAGUUGUCGGUUGUCUUGUACGACGGGUAACGCAGCUAACGCGAUAAGUAGACCGCCUGGGGAGUACGGCCGCAAGGUUAAAACUCAAAUGAAUUGACGGGGGCCCGCACAAGCGGUGGAGCAUGUGGUUUAAUUCGAAGCAACGCGAAGAACCUUACCAGGGCUUGACAUACAGUGCAAAACUAUAGAGAUAUAGCAGAGGUUAACAUUGAUACAGGUGGUGCAUGGUUGUCGUCAGCUCGUGCCG